GGAAGCGGGACGUACCAAGCGGCAGGCGGCGGAGGGGUGCGGGCCGGAACUCCGCCCUUCGUGCUGGUCGGUCUCCACGCCCCACUCGGACUAGUGUCACCGCCUCCCCGCCGCAGACACUAUCCGACAAAGGAGGGGGAAUCAAAGGCUGGGCGAAGAGGCAGGGCAGGCGCCGGUGACGCUGCUGGGCAAGCGGGCUCUGCAGUAGCAUUUGUGGCGACCGUGGCAGUGGCUGUGACUGGAAGCUUCUGGAAAUGGCGGCGAUGAGGACCCCCACAUAGGGAUGGCCAUAGCAGCCACAAAAGGAAGCAAACAAGAACAAGUCCUGAUGGAGCAAUUUAUGAAGACAGGCAGCAUAGAGGGAGAAGAACCUGUCUGUCAACCCCACACACGCUUUCCCAGACGUCUCCUGAAAGCUGAGCAUUUGUUAUCUUAAAGCCUCUUACCAGUUUGGAUAGAUAUGGAUCUUCCAAAAUUAAUGAGCUCCUUAAUAUCGACACUGUUUAUCAACAUAAAGGAUCAAUUUAGGAAGAUUAUAAAAACUGAAGUUUCCGGAACAAUAAAUGGGAGAAUUAAUCUUCUGAAUCAAGGACGUAUCCCUGAAUCUGGGGAGCUCUCUAUCAAAAUAUACAUGCUGGAACCCUACCAAAGGAAUAAUAAAUCUGGAAUGAGGCUCUGACUGUCUAAUUAGGAAAAGACUCCUUCCUGGAAUUCUGCACAUCUCCCUACACCUUAGUGACGGUUAAAUAAAUAAUUAUUAAGCUUCUGGAUAUUUUUUGUUGUAAGGUUAGGUGUUUCAUGGGUUGGGGGGAGGGGCAGUAACAUUAAAAUAAAAGUCCCAAAUGUAAAGUGCAAA
rnacentral:lncRNA from 1 species